UCAAACAGCUAUUGACUCUGUUAAUCCUCUUCCUGUGUGCCCAUCAGCCCGUAUCUGCCCCUGGUAGUCAUGGCGAGCCCUUGACAGCCUCUUCUUAGGGUCCAGGUCAGACUCUCUUCCACUGCCAUUUUAUUAUUGAUUCAAAGACUAUCCCGCUGUAAUUGUCAAGAGCAGAGAAGAGUUGACACCAUUGUCCGGGAACCUUAAAAAGAUUAGGAGCUCUGUCCACGGUUUUGUGCUGCAGUGGCUUUGAACAACUUACCCAAACAUUGACUAUCAAAGUAAUAAGAGAGGUGGAGACAAGUGAACCCUGGUACAUACUGGCAGCCAGCUACCUGAUUUGGAAAGAACACAAAGUCUGGGGAGACUAAACAACUUGCGAAGGUUACCCAGGUGCUAGUAAUGGAAAGGAACUUUAAGUCCUCAAACUGGGUCCAGUGACUCGCUCACCCCCAUCACUACCCAUGGAACAGAACCCAGGGGCUUGAUCAUUUCAUGCCAGGUAAGUGUACCAACAUUGAACUACAUCCCACCUCACACACCAUAUUUUAAACACUGCCUCCCAAAUGACUUAUUGUGAAAUCCCCUUGCAUCUUGUAAAUCACUUGUAAUUUGCUUAUUUUCUAAUAACUUCCCAAGAAGUAUCUUCUUAUUUGCUUGUAUAUUUGGGAGGGGGAGGCAUGCCAUCCGAGGGCAGAAGAGGGCACUGACUCCUACAGAACUGUGACCAUAGGUGGUUGCCAGAUGUCCAACGUGAGCGCUGAGAACCCAACUCAGGUCCUCUGUAAGAACAAGUGCCUUUGGCUGCUAAGCCAUAUCUGUACCCCCACCCCCACCCCUACCACCGCAAGUCUUCCUUCUUGGAGUUAAACAGGGUUUAUACUCAGAAAGAGAAGCAAAACAGCAACAUAUGCCUUUUCCUUUUGCUGCCUACCAGCUUGCCCAAGAGCCAUCCACCACGGCGGGCAGAGAAAGGGGCGUAGGUGUAUCUGGCAAAGCGACAGAGAGAAUGAUAGCCUUCCGAUUGCUUCAAGCUCAGCAAGCGCUUCAUAAAUGCUUACAUUUUUCCCCCAAACAGUCCUCUAUGUGCCUUCCCAUUCUAAAAAUAGGAAAACGGAAUUUACCAUUCCACAGCAGCGAGUUACAAAAUCCACUUUAUACCAGAUGCCUGAGCCGUCAGAGCCUGCGCGCUUCCCCUACCACCUCUUCCAUUGCCUCAAAUCAAUUUAAGUUAGAAAGAAAUGCCUGACUCUUCCAACCCACAAUCCCCAGCUCACCUUUCAGAACAGUUGCAAAGGCUUCAGUUUGGUUUUAAAAUUCAAUGAAGAAAUGUCAUGCUAGAGAUGUUCGGUUUCAAUCUCCGGGGUGGGGGAUUAUUUAGUCUGCUUCUCCGGGGAGCGUGUUCCAUUUGAUUUCAUUAAUCUGAAGUAAGCAACUCUCUCAUCUUUCUACACAACCUCACUUCCCUUCACUCAUUUACACUGAAGCAGAUUUCACUGCGGUCGGGCUUCUUCCUCCUCUAGGAGGGAGAUUUCCAUCGGCUAAUUGAAAGGAACACUGCUCUGUCCUCAGCAAAGCUAAAGACAUACAAUUUCACCACCAAGGCCGGGCGCAUUAUCAGUGUCCUGAUCUUUGGCCUUUGAUACUUUCAAGAGGUGUCCCAGGGGAAAUCUCUCUCUGGAAUGUUAAUCUGUUGCGUCCCUGACCUUCUACACGUGUACCACAUUAUUAUUAUUACAACCCACAUGCUUCUCUUUUCAUGCUGUCAUUUUGACAAUAGAACCAUCCGGCAAUUCAUCUUUUGACUGGAAGGCUGGAACAAGGUGCAGGGCGGUGAGUGGGAUCGGAUUGGCUAAUGGCAUUGUUUAAAAUGCAAUAACAUUUCUCUUCUGAAAUCCGCCCAGGUUUCAAAUGAUACGCUGCGCCCGCCUGUGGGAUGCACCGAGACAAUUAGCUACUGGUGAUUCAUCAAAGAGUCUCUGUGUGGGGAUUUUCUUUUUAACUUUUUUUAUUUUUUAUUUCUCCGCAUGCUCUUGGAACAUAAAUGAGUCCUGGAACUGGAUUGGUGUGGAUUUAUCGCUCAUGUUUCCUGUCGUUACCCUCUCUCUCCUCUCAUCUGGCAGGUGUUUGUUUUAGCUACAGAUUUAUUGAAAGUGGUGUGGGGGUGGGAACGUGUACAGCAAUACUGAGAGUCCAACCUUUAAAGACUGAUCAAAUUUCAAAUGUCACCUCCUCCUCACCUGGGCCUUCUUUUGACCACACCAUAUGACACAAGCUCUCCCUUGGUGGUAUUGCUCUAUUUUGAUCUAUUAUUGUCCCUUAUGUCUAUCAUCCCGUGACAUGGCAUAUUUAUUCCUGGAUUGGAAGUAGCCUGUACCUUCCAGAAGUGACUUUCAGCUGUUAACUUGGUCUGCUCACUACUGUCUCUGUGGGCAUGAGGACAGAGCAGGAGUGACACUCGUAUUCUACUGAAAGAUACUCAGACGGGAGAGCUCACAAAAAGCAUCAUAGGAGAAACAAAAGAUGGAAUUUAUUGAGGGGAGGGGGGUGCCACAUAGAGCCACGUGACAGAGACAUAGUGAUAGUCAGAGGCAGAAGACAGGAUGAAGGAGCACAUUAAGGCAAAUGAAUGAUUUAGGAAGUCGGAGGCUUUGUGAGGGACUGUGAACAAAAGGAUUGGCCCCAGCUGCUGGGCUCUGACCCCGAGAUGGUUGAAGCACAGAAAGAGUGCCU